UUCGUCGCGACUCUCCACGUGUGACGCGCUUCGAUGAUUCCGACGGUAGCAGGGAACCGGGGAUCUCACUUUUCCUUCCACCAACAAACAUGCGAUACUCCUGUUACUUUUGAUGCGAGUGAGAGAAUAAAAAGCAUCCAACUACGUUGUACAAUUCAAGCGUCGGCGAUUUCACUUGUACUCUUUUGUACUUCUAGAAUAGGGAAUAUGAGAUUUUGAUAUACGGACAGCAUUUUAUGCACGCCAGAGCACCGGAUACCGUAAGCUCACAUGAAACGCAAUUGACUUACAGCAAAGGAUAGAAGAAUCAUUCCUUUUAGUCAUUUCACGUUAUUAUCCGAUGGAAUUUAUGCGUAUAUGUAUUUCAAUCGCAUGAUCGUCGGAAUUCUAUCGUUAUGGAUCAGCCGUGCCUAUUACGUUUAUGCCGUUCCUCGGCGAUCGAGUUCGCGAUCGGUGAAGCUACAGGUUGCAGCGGGCCCUUCCAAAUAAGACUAUUAUAGUUGUCAGGGUCAAGGACCUGAACUGUACAGACUACACGGAAGAGUUUGAUGAAAGUUUGAAACUACGGACAAACGAUCAUGAAAGAAUACCAAGUUAUAUUCCCUCCUCUAAUCCUCU